AGUGAACGCUGGCGGUAGGCCUAACACAUGCAAGUCGAACGGCAGCACAGUAAGAGCUUGCUCUUACGGGUGGCGAGUGGCGGACGGGUGAGGAAUACAUCGGAAUCUACUUUUUCGUGGGGGAUAACGUAGGGAAACUUACGCUAAUACCGCAUAGGACCUACGGGUGAAAGAAGGGGAUCUUCGGACCUUGCGGGAUUGAAUGAGCCGAUGUCGGAUUAGCUAGUUGGCGGGGUAAAGGCCCACCAAGGCGACGAUCCGUAGCUGGUCUGAGAGGAUGAUCAGCCACACUGGAACUGAGACACGGUCCAGACUCCUACGGGAGGCAGCAGUGGGGAAUAUUGGACAAUGGGCGCAAGCCUGAUCCAGCCAUACCGCGUGGGUGAAGAAGGCCUUCGGGUUGUAAAGCCCUUUUGUUGGGAAAGAAAAGCAGCAGGUUAAUACCCCGCUGUUCUGACGGUACCCAAAGAAUAAGCACCGGCUAACUUCGUG
rnacentral:rRNA from 1 species